rnacentral:rRNA from 1 species
GUCCACGCCCUAAACGAUGGAUACUCGACAUUUGUGAUACACAAUAAGUGUCUGAGCGAAAGCAUUAAGUAUCCCACCUGGGAAGUACGAUCGCAAGAUUGAAACUCAAAGGAAUUGGCGGGGUCGCACAAGCGGUGGAGCAUGUGGUUUAAUUCGAUGAUACGCGAGGAACCUUACCCGGGCGUAGAAUGCCGGUGGACCGUGGGUGGAAAGACUCACUUUGUAGCAAUACACCGCCGGUAAGGUGCUGCAUGGCUGUCGU